rfam:Methylobacter tundripaludum SV96 genomic scaffold Mettuscaffold_2, whole genome shotgun sequence.
AGGCGCGUAGCUCAGUUGGUUAGAGCACCACCUUGACAUGGUGGGGGUCGGUGGUUCGAGUCCACUCGUGCCUA